rnacentral:rRNA from 1 species
CAAGAAGUGUUUUCCGCUUCGGACCAAGCCUAAGUCCCUUGGAAAAGGGCAUCAUAGAGGGUGAUAAUCCCGUACAUGGCUUGGAGCGCCCGAAGCUUUGUGAUACGCUUUCUAAGAGUCGAGUUGUUUGGGAAUGCAGCUCAAAAUGGGUGGUAAAUGCCAUCUAAGGCUAAAUAUUGGGGAGAGACCGAUAGCGAACAAGUACAGUGAUGGAAAGAUGAAAAGAACUUUGAAAAGAGAGUUAAACAGUACGUGAAAUUGCCAAAAGGGAAGGGUAGGAGGUCAGAGAUGCGGCCUGGGAUUCAGCCUUGCUUUUGCUUGGUGUUUUUCCCAGAUUGCAGGCCAACGUCGGUUUUGGGCACUGGAGAAGGGUAGGAGGAACGUGGCACCUCUCGGGGUGUGUUAUAGCCUCCUA